GAUGAACGCUAGCUACAGGCUUAACACAUGCAAGUCGAGGGGAAACGAUAUUGGAAGCUUGCUUCUGAUAGGCGUCGACCGGCGCACGGGUGAGUAACGCGUAUCCAACCUGCCCAUCACUUGGGGAUAACCUUGUGAAAGUAAGACUAAUACCCAAUGACGUCUCUAGAAGACAUCUGAAAGAGAUUAAAGAUUUAUCGGUGAUGGAUGGGGAUGCGUCUGAUUAGCUUGUUGGCGGGGUAACGGCCCACCAAGGCGACGAUCAGUAGGGGUUCUGAGAGGAAGGUCCCCCCACAUUGGAACUGAGACACGGUCCAAACUCCUACGGGAGGCAGCAGUGAGGAAUAUUGGUCAAUGGUCGGCAGACUGAACCAGCCAAGUCGCGUGAGGGAAGACGGCCCUACGGGUUGUAAACCUCUUUAUAAGGGAAUAAAGUGAGUCUCGUGAGACUUUUUGCAUGUACCUUAUGAAUAAGGACCGGCUAAUUCCGUG
rnacentral:rRNA from 1 species